rnacentral:rRNA from 1 species
UAUUUGAUGGAAAAACUACAUGGAUAACCGUGGUAAUUCUAGAGCUAAUACAUGCGAGAUGUGUCAAUUAUGGCAUGUGCAUUUGUUAGAUACAACCAGGCCAGCAAUGGCAAAGGGGAGUCAUGAUAACUGGGCGGAUCGCAGGACCUCGAGUUGGCGACGCAUCAUUCAAAUUUCUGCCCUAUCAACUUUCGACGGUAGAAUAGAGGUCUACCGUGGUGGCAACGGGUAACGGAGAAUUGGGGUUUGAUUCCGGAGAGGGAGCCUGAGAAAUAGCUACCACUUCCAAGGAAGGCAGCAGGCGCGCAAAUUACCCAAUCCCGACACGGGGAGGUAGUGACAGAAAAUAGCGAUGCGUUCUAUAAUAGGAUGCAAUUGGAAUGAGAGCAAUGUAAAAGAAAGCUCGAGUAACGAUUGGAGGGCAAGUCUGGUGCCAGCGGCCGCGGUAAUUCCAGCUCCAAUAGCGUAUAUUAAAGUUGUUGCAGUUAAAACGCUCGUAGUUGGAUGUAGUGGGCGUUUUUGUUAUUGAAAUUUUGAUAGCAAAGCGCCCAGUAGUUUCAGAGUGGGUAAAAGCACAAAGAGACGUUACUGUGAAGAAAUUAGAGUGUUCAAGGCAGGCGUAGGCAUGAAUAUAUUAGCAUGGAAUAACAACGAUUGGAUUGUUGGUUGAGAAAGACAAAAAGAUGAAUAGGGACAGUUGGGGGCAUUGGUAUUUAGUAGUCAGAGGUGAAAUUCUUGGAUUUACUAAAGACAAACGAAAGCGAAAGCAUUUGCCAAGGAUGUUUUCAUUAAUCAAGAACGAAAGUUAGGGGAUCGAAGACGAUCAGAUACCGUCGUAGUCUUGACUAUAAACGAUGCCGACACUGGGAUGGGGGUUAUUGUUAGCAAGGUCAUCAUGACAGUAGGAGAAAUCAAAGUGUAUAGGUUCUGGGGGGAGUAUUGUCGCAAGGGAGAAACUUAAAGGAAUUGACGGAAGGGCACCACCAGGAGUGGAGCCUGCGGCUUAAUUUGACUCAACACGGGAAAACUCACCAGGUCCGGACAUGGGAAGGAUUGACAGAUUGAGAGUUCUUUUGAGAUUAAAUGGGAGGUGGUGCAUGGCCGUUCUUAGUUGGUGGAGUGAUUUGUCAGGUUAAUUCCGAUAACGAGCGAGACCGCAGUGUUUUUUUGGUGUGUUGAUUUGUUAAAAUCAAUACAUAGAAAAACAGACUGACUGCGUAGAGCAGUCGGAAGUUGGCGGCAACAACAGGUCUGUGAUGCCCUUUGAUGUUCUGGGCUGCACGCGCGCUACACUGAUCGAGACAGCGAGUGGAUCUGGACCGAGAGGUAUGGAGAAUCUUGACAACUUGAUCGUGCUGGGGAUAGAUUAUUGCAAUUAUUAGUCUUG